AUUGAACGCUGGCGGCAUGCCUAACACAUGCAAGUCGAACGAGUGGCGGACGGGUGAGUAAUGUCUGGGAAACUGCCUGAUGGAGGGGGAUGACUACUGGAAACGGUAGCUAAUACCGCAUACCAUCAGAUGUGCCCAGAGGGGUUUAGCUAGUUGGUGGGGUAACGGCUCACCAAGGCGACGAUCCCUAGCUGGUCUGAGAGGAUGACCGGCAACACGGGAACUGAGAAACGGUCCAGACUCCUCGGGGAGGCAGCAGUGGGGAAUAUUGCACAAGGGGCGCAAGCCUGAUGCAGCCAUGCCGGGUGUAUGAAGAAGGCCUUCGGGUUGAAAAGUACUUUCAGCGGGGAGGCGUUACCCGCAGAAGAAGCACCGGCUAACUCCGUGCCAGCCGCCGCGGUAAUAC
rnacentral:rRNA from 1 species